GCCCAGGGCUACACACGUGCUACAAUGGCCAGUACAAAGGGCUGCAAAUCCGUGAGGGUGAGCAAAUCCCAAAAAGCUGGUCUCAGUUCGGAUUGGAGUCUGCAACCCGACUCCAUGAAGUCGGAAUCGCUAGUAAUCGCAGAUCAGCGUGCUGCGGUGAAUACGUUCCCGGGCCUU
rnacentral:rRNA from 1 species